rnacentral:rRNA from 1 species
UACAGAGGUCCCAAGCGUUGUUCGGAUUCAUUGGGCGUAAAGGGUGCGUAGGCGGCGCGGUAAGUCGGGUGUGAAAUCUCGGAGCUUAACUCCGAAACUGCAUUCGAUACUGCCGUGCUUGAGGACUGGAGAGGAGACUGGAAUUUACGGUGUAGCGGUGAAAUGCGUAGAUAUCGUAAGGAAGACCAGUGGCGAAGGCGGGUCUCUGGACGGAUACUGACGCUGAGACGCGAAAGCGUGGUGAGCAAACAGG